UAGAAGUUUUGGGAUUAUAAACAAUUAUUUAAGGAAAAUGGAAAUUGUCUGGUUCAAUCUGAUCCAUUCAUUUACCCACCGCUUAAUCUGGACCGUCCAAGAUUUAUUAAGGGGACUAUAUAUAGACCUUCCAUCAGACCAACGCAUCAGAUCGUUCCAGAAGCAUCAAGCUCCCUCUGACCCGCGACGUGACCCGACGAUCCGAGAACAAGACCCGGUCGGAACUCCUCCGUUCGACCAUAUCUCGCGGCGGACCACCGGCGUUCGCUUCGUCUCGACGACGCCGACGUGCCUCUGGCCACGGAUCAUCCAUGCACGGACUGUGGAGAGAGAUUCGAAGCUUGAAAGGUUUGAACUUUCCGGCGAUGCUUCUGCAAUUUUCGGCGAUCUUCGGGGCUGUGUGAGGCUUCUAGUUUCGUUUCUAGCGUCUUGGAAAACCAGUUGAGGUCCGGGGAAGCUUGGCUCCUUGAAUUGGCGUUCGGUGAUGCUUUGGUCCUUACUACACUUCAAACUGAAGGGAGAAAUUGGGUGAGCUCUGCCUGACGUUUACUGAGCUCGGUAGCUGCACGUAUAGGCAUGCUCAAGAUGGCCUAUGUUAACGAUUCUUUGAUUCUCAAAGGUAAAUUUGGAAUUCCGAAACAGAAUCGUUCUCCUGUCAAAUUCUGGUUGUGAAUUUGGUUUUGUGAAUGGUGAUUGGAAGCUUGAAGUUGUGUGGUUGAUUAUUCUGGAUAUGCAGAUAAUUGAUUCCAUUGAAAUAUGAUUCAUUAUGGUUGGUAUUGAUUGAACAAGCUGAAUAAUUAUAAUGCUGAAACGCAAUUGUGA